ensembl:ncRNA F14H12.9 ncRNA
CUUCGCUUCCUUCACUCCUUAAAUAUAUUUCGGUUUCGCAAAUAUUACCUGACAGUUGAGAAACAUUCGCCUCGAAGUGUAUAUUUGCCUCUUCUUGAAAAAAAAAAAGCAAACGCCCUCUCGGCUAGUAGUUGACGAAAUAUAUCUGCUUCCCAACGGCAGCAGAGACCCAAUAUGACAAUUAUAACAGACUAAAGCUAAAAGGACGUCCGUCAUAAGCCAUAAAUCUUACGAUUCAAAACGGCAGUCGUAAUGCAAAAAGCACUCAGAAUGUGGUUUUUUGUUUCU